GACAGAGGGUGCGAACGUUGUUCGGAAUUACUGGGCGUAAAGCGCACGUAGGCGGAUCGAUCAGUCAGGGGUGAAAUCCCAGAGCUCAACUCUGGAACUGCCUUUGAUACUGUCGAUCUGGAGUAUGGAAGAGGUGAGUGGAAUUCCGAGUGUAGAGGUGAAAUCCGUAGAUAUUCGGAGGAACACCAGUGGCGAAGGCGGCUCACUGGUCCAUUACUGACGCUGAGGUGCGAAAGCGUGGGGAGCAAACAGG
rnacentral:rRNA from 1 species